rnacentral:rRNA from 1 species
UGACCGCUGGCGGCGUGCCUAAUACAUGCACGUCGAGCGAACGGACGAGAAGCUUGCUUCUCUAAUGUUAGCGGCGGACGGGUGAGUAACACGUGGAUAACCUACCUAUAAGACUGGGAUAACUUCGGGAAACCGUAGCUAAUACCGGAUAAUAUUUUGAACCGCAUGGUUCAAAAGUGAAAGACGGUCUUGCUGUCACUUAUAGAUGGAUCCGCGCUGCAUUAGCUAGUUGGUAAGGUAACGGCUUACCAAGGCAACGAUGCAUAGCCGACCUGAGAGGGUGAUCGGCCACACUGGAACUGAGACACGGUCCAGACUCCUACGGGAGGCAGCAGUAGGGAAUCUUCCGCAAUGGGCGAAAGCCUGACGGAGCAACGCCGCGUGAGUGAUGAAGGUCUUCGGAUCGUAAAACUCUGUUAUUAGGGAAGAACAUAUGUGUAAGUAACUGUGCACAUCUUGACGGUACCUAAUCAGAAAGCCACGGCUAACUACGUG